GUUUGAUCCUGGCUCAGAUUGAACGCUUUUAGCAUGCCUAACACAUGCAAGUCGAACGGCAGCACAGUAAAGAUUUCGGUCUUUACGGGUGGCGAGUGGCGGACGGGUGAGUAAAGCGUAGGAAUCUGUCCUGGAGAGUGGGAUAACCCGAGGAAACUCGGGCUAAUACCGCAUGAUAUCGAGAGAUCAAAGCAGGGGACCCUUCGGGGCCUUGCGCUCUAGGAUGAGCCUACGUCGGAUUAGCUAGUUGGUGGGGUAAAGGCCUACCAAGGCGACGAUCCGUAGCCGGUCUGAGAGGAUGACCAGCCACACUGGGACUGAGACACGGCCCAGACUCCUACGGGAGGCAGCAGUGGGGAAUCUUGGACAAUGGGGGAAACCCUGAUCCAGCGAUGCCGCGUGUGUGAAGAAGGCCUUCGGGUUGUAAAGCACUUUAGGUGGGGAAGAAAAGUAAUGAGUGAAUAACUGAUUGCUCUGACGGUACCCGCAGAAUAAGCACCGGCUAACUCUGUGCCAGCAGCCGCGGUAAUACAGAGGGUGCAAGCGUUAAUCAGAAUGACUGGGCGUAAAGGGCGUGUAGGUGGUUGACUAGGUUUGAUGUGAAAUCCCCGGGCUUAACCUGGGAAUUGCGUCGAAAACGGGUCGACUAGAGUGAGAUAGAGGGUUGUGGAAUUUCCGGUGUAGCGGUGAAAUGCGUAGAUAUCGGAAAGAACAUCAGUGGCGAAGGCGACAACCUGGAUCUUAACUGACACUGAGGCGCGAAGGCGUGGGGAGCAAACAGGAUUAAAUACCCUGGUAGUCCACGCAGUAAACGAUGAGAA
rnacentral:rRNA from 1 species